rnacentral:sRNA from 1 species
CCUUCAUUGCAGUUCGCCUACCGGAGCUUCGUUGAGCCACAAGAAGUGGAUGAAAUCGUACAGCUUAGCACUCACGCUAACCUGACCUUGUACGGUGUUGGAUUCAGCCUCCUCAUGUGGUCUGGCCUCAUACGGUCCAGAUAGCCCAUGCACCGACUCCUUAUUUCGUUGAUGGAUGGUAGCUCUUCCCGUGGUUCGGCUUCAGAACAAGAACAGCCAGUAGCACUUCAAUAACUCCUCAACAUGCUGUGGAACAACAUAUGCCCUCUUUGAUUCAUUGAAAGGAUGCCGACACAGGAGCCUCUCACCUACCUUUGGGGCUGGCUCAUCUUCUCCAGUCAUUAUGUCAACCAAAGGAUAACCUUCUUUUCCAAACAACCUGUAGCAUCGUUUUUUACAUGGCAUAUAUACCUUUGUCACAUCUUCAGACAGUUUAAUGCGAGGUUGUUUGUUAAUCUCAACUAAUUUGAACACACAACCAAGCGCUGCUUGUGCAUAGCAUGUAACAAGGUAGGUACCAAUGCCAAAUGCAUCUACCUCCAUACCUGCUUGUUCAAGGCAUCAAUUGUUUCCUCAUUUAGGUCAUUGCUCGCUGUGAUAUUCAUUUUUCCAAAGCCAAUAAACCCAAAUUCUUCUUCAAUUGCACGGAAGAACUUACGAGUUUCAACGGAUAAGUAUGCUAAGUCACCAGAGUCUAAUCUAAUUCCAGCCGCCUUAUACCUGAAAUGAAAAUUUUCAGAUUUCAAUAUACAACUGCAGAGAAAGAUUGACAUACAUCAUAUGUGUCCACCAAAGCCAGGAAGGAAUUUGGAAAUGCCAGCGCAUAUGACGUGAAUGCAGCCAACUCACUUAGAUUUGUUUCACGAAAGGUACCACGCAAUGAACCAGCAUCCUGAGAAUAUCAUAAUGACGAUCUUUAGUUGUGAUAACAAAGUCUUCGCAUUUGUUUGAACCAUCAGAACUAGCGAGUGUCCUGUCAAUGAUGUCAUCAAGACCCUACAGACAUAUAAUAUAUUAGAGAAAAAAUACUGACACACAGAACUGUAUAGCCAGAGAGAUUUGUUCAUUUUGUAAACCAGACCUUGUUGCAUCAAAUCCUCCCAUAUAACAAUAUCUUGAUGCACUGAUUCCUCCAUCAGGCCCCUGAUAGAUGUGUGGCUAUAAUCCAAAUUCAAGUAAAUUCUUUGACUUCCCUGCUACAAGUCUGUGUCUUGCCGCGUUUGUAGUAACCAAGGAUGCAUAGUUGACCAGACUUAAAAAUGGUGUUUCAAGAAGUUGAAUAACCGCAACAGGUCCUUCAAUUAUCAUCAGUGGAACUUUAGGGAAUACAACAGAACCCUCAGGGAUGGCAUAAACCUCAACAUCUGAGCAGUCAAUUGAACUAAGUUUGGAAUUCCUACCUCGCAUGUAGGCAUGGCAGAUCGCAGGAAUGUUAUUUCCGUAUCUGUUAACUUGAAGUUAGCAAUGAAUCUUAUACACUCCUCAAGGCCACCGAAGAUGGUGAAUUCACCACCAAAGGGAUUUUUCCGGAAGUAAAGAUCAAAGCUGAAAAUAUUAAAGGUGCUUGCCGGCCUUCCAGUAGGCGUAGGCCAUGGUGAACUGGUAGAGGUCGGUGAGCAGCGGCGUCACCAUCGGGUUCGUCGGCCGCGGCACCCCUCCUCCGCCCCCCGCCCCGUUCGCCGCCGCUGCCGCCGCCGCC